CGUCGGGUCGUAAAAAGUUUCUAUGGUCACAUUUUUGUAUUUUAUCCCUUUAAUGGGGGUACCCCUCAAUUUACGGUUUUGGGUAGUUACCUUAAAAUCCAAAAAUAUAUUUUUUGGUUAAAUUUCCCGCUAUUUUCGUAAAUAUUUUCUAUGCACAUAUCAUCAAGGAUCAUCGGAAUGAUGAAGACAUAAAUAUAAUACCAUCUCCAAGUAAAACUUUCAAACUUAAAGUUGGCUGUUUUUUAGAUAGAAAUUUAACGCGUUUUUCUUUGAAAACGAGAAAACAUAUGAUUCAAAAACGGUAUUUGACAUUUGAGAGGAC
rnacentral:lncRNA from 1 species